GCAAGAUAGAAUUUUUAAAAAGGUACUGCUAUUUGCCCAUGCCGUUGUCACAGGACUUUUGUCCCCUCCCCCCAGGAGAUUCGCCCCCUCUCAAAAGAGGCCGAUAUUCCUAGGAAUACCGCCCCCGGGGGACGAAUAUCCUAGGAAUAUGCCCCCCCAGGGGGCGAAUGCCUCAGGAAUAUCCCCCCUUUAGGAUAUUCGCCCCCCAUAUAUAUGCGAUGUGGUUUAUUCAAAUAGUUUUGUGAUACUUUCAUCUUAUUAGUGCCUUAAGGCCCAUACAGACCGGACGCUAUUUGGCAACGCGACGCGAAUUUUCAGUUUUCAAUGACAUUUAACUUUAAUAUUUUUCAUUGUUUUUCAAAUAUUCGGG
rnacentral:lncRNA from 1 species